GAAAUGCGAUAAGUAAUGUGAAUUGCAGAAUUCAGUGAAUCAUCGAAUCUUUGAACGCACCUUGCACUCCUUGGUAUUCCGAGGAGUAUGCCUGUUUGAGUGUCUGACUUUCAUCAAUCCUCUUUUACUUUUGUAAUGGAUGGCUUGGAUUUGGGGAUUGCUGGGCCUUGUGUCUAACUUCCCUUGAAUGCAUUAGUUGAAUUGACUUGCAACGCUAUGUGUGGUGUGAUAAUAUCUUCACUGCAUAGUUGUAAUGAAGUUUGGCUUAUAACUGUCUUACAUUAGACAAUCUUUGACCAUUAGACCUCAAAUCAGGUAGGACUACCCGCUGAACUUAA
rnacentral:misc_RNA from 1 species